CCCUCACUUCCUCUCCCUUCCCAAACCCCAGCUCGCAUCACCCUUCCCGCCUCCUCCCACCCCUCCCCUUUCUCCUCCCACUUCCUCCUUCCUUCUCCCUCUCGAGAAGGACCCGAAAAGCUGGAGUCGGCUUAUGCCGUCCCUGGAGUGGCCUGUGCACACCAGUCCCCUCCCUGCCCCUGGACAGCCACCCUGCUCCUGCCGGGCUGCAAGCUGCGAGGCCUUCAGAUCGGGGCACCCUUGGACCUGGCCUCCUUCAAGAGGCAGGAGCACAGACCUCCGCGACUAAGGUCCAGCGGGACUUGCAUCCCGUCCUCGUCUAGACGAUCUAGAAGAGGCUUCCGCCCUUCCCUGGCUCUCCACUCUCCUGCUUUGGGUGUCCAAGGACAGGACCUCCAGCCUAGCUUCCCGAGGCCAAACCUCUCCCUCUCUCUCUGCCCCAAAAGCCACCUCCCAAUCUUCCUGAGAGCCUGAUGCUCCCUUAAAAUCUGCUGCCCCCAGCUCUCCACUGUCCAUUGUGAAUCGGCCACAGGGUUUUGCGGUCUCCCCACAACCGAGGCAGCUGAGGACCCAUGGCUGUCAAGAUCACAGAAGGAUUCCACUUGCCACUUCUGCCCAUCGCUUCACCAAGUGAGGAACCCCAAUUUUCUACCUCUUCCGCCAAGCUUGUAAUGUUCAUGUUAAAAGAUAACCAACAGAACAGGGCACAGUAUUGUCCUGGGUUUUUGCCUCCCAAGUAGGGAAGCCACGGGCUGGCCAGAGAGUUGUAUUUUGUGAAUUCGUGUAGGUUUUUUGGGAAGGGAUCAGGGUGGAAGGGGUCUUUCCAAAACCUCUCUCAACCCUCCCACAUGACCUGAGACCAGAGAGGGGCUGCAAGCUGGGUGAGGAAGGGAGUUUGAGAAGGGCGAUUGCACAGAGAGCUUUGCCACGGGAAGCAGUGAGAACAUGCCAUCCCUCAGUACCCCUGAAUGAAGCCUACUGUUCUUCCUCCAAGACUGAAUAAAAAUGUAUUCUACGCUCAGAUCCACCAGACAAAGAAGGAAUAUAGCAACAAAGCAGGGGAGAGAUGAAAAUGGGCAGUCGGCUGUUCAUUCACAUACAUGUAGUUCAUCUGCAAGGCUUCCAAGAAAGCAGCCGCACACCAAAUCCUUUCCGACACUGCUGUAUCUGAGCCUCCUGUGAGAUAAUCCUCUUAAUGGAAUAUUUAAGAAAUCGGAUAUAAAUCACCAACCUUUUAUCUCACCUGAAGAUCCAUGCUCCAUUGGACGGAUGGUGUAUAUGUCUAUCUCCAUACGGAUGGGUGCAGGUGACUUUUCGAGCAGAGGUGGCAAUCUCUGCUUUUUUUAUUUUGAAGAUAGGGUUGUAAAGUUAUAAAGUUUAGAGAUCAGAGCCCAGAAAACAGCUGCACCUAGAGACAAUUAAAACACACAUCCCUUGGAAAAAACCUUUUUUGUCAUUUGCAACCAACAAAAAUGCCUGUUAUUGUGAUGUGCUCAUAAAUAACUUGAUUUUGGCAUAUGCUUUUGUACCAAACAGAAGAUGAAUAAAUUAAAUUUGAUUUACAA